CACUUUCACCACCUUCUCAGAUUUUCAGCUCUUGGGGCUUCAGUAGGACCUGCCUUUCAGUAACUUUCAGAGGCAUGGGGAGCCCUUCCCUGAAAGAGGGGAGAAGGUAACAUCUUAGAAACUGUGAUAAAAUGAUCUCAGGACCCAAAAAGAAAAUGGACAAGCCUGGCAAUGAGAGUUUGCAAUGUGAUGCAAUCACAGGCAAUACCAGGGUGGAAAUUGGAUGGGCAGCUUUCUUCUCUCUAGAAGAUUUUCUUUCCAAGUCCAUUCUUUCUUUUCAUAUUUUCAAUUUGGAAACUGAGGUUUAUGGGUUGUCAGUCUUCCAGCAAUUUCAAGUGAAGGUUUCCAGUUCUAAGGUGAGUGUUAACCUUGGAAUCCAUAGCUUCAGGGGCAGGGAGUAUGGGGACCAGUUAAAGAAGGAAUGGAUUAGAGAAAGCAACUUGGUGAGAUAACACCUCCUAUCACAACACCAGAACCUUUGAACACAUCAGUGUCAGAGCUCAGCUUUGUUCAUAAUUGUCAAAACUUGGAAGCAACCAUGAUGCCGAUAUCCUUCAGCAAGUGAACAAAUAAAUUAACUAUUGUCUGUCCUGAAGACGCCUGACUUGGUGCCUUUGCCUGACAACUCUUUAGUGUUUAACUAAAGGCAGCGAAACCAUCCCCAGACAUGAAUUGGCAUGAGCAGAAGAGUCACAUUAAAAGAUUGGCUAGAAAACCUAUUGCUAUUUAAAGACAAGGAUUUAUUAAAAGUAAGAGCAUCAGUGGUGCAUCCUUAUGUCCUCCCUUUCUUAGAAAAUCAGUUUUCAUAAUUUCUCUUUGAAUCUGACAGGCUUUAAUUAUGUAACUGGUAGAGAAAUUUAACUUUGAUUUUCAACAUGCAAGAAAAAGAGCCAGGAAACUAUAUGUAUAUAUUAAUGUAUUAGCUAAUAUUUAGUGCAGAGAAGUACAAAGGAGAAAACAAGAGUUGGAUAAUUUUCCUUGUCAGAUAACUUUUUGGUAUUUUUAUAAAAUUAGCAAUGUAUGAGGCUAAAAAUAUACAAAAAUGUACAAAUCAAAAAAAUAAAAUUCUUUUCCUUUGUCCCCACCCCACCUCCCAGGCUUUCUCCAAAGUGUAACUGAUUGACGGUUUUAUAUAUCCUACA
rnacentral:lncRNA from 1 species